GUCGAGCGGAGAUAUAAAAAGGAAGCCCUUCGGGGUGGAAUUUUUACAUCUUAGCGGCGGACGGGUGCGUAACACGUGGGUAACCUGCCCCUAUCACUGGGAUAACACACUGAAAAGUGUGCUAAUACCAGAUAAUAUAAGCUUUUGGCAUCAUUAGCUUAUCAAAGAAUUUCGGAUAGGGAUGGGCCCGCGUCUGAUUAGCUAGUUGGUGAGG
rnacentral:rRNA from 1 species